CAAAAUAUGAAAAACAUAAACGAGAAAAUCCGAAAGUUCAAAGAAAAACACAAAAGGCCCAACUCCAAAAAAGAAACCCAUCAAAAGCCCAAAAAUACCUGACCCGAACUAACCGAAGCAAAUCAAUCCAUAAACCCGACAUCACGAGAGAAACCAACGAUCAACGAUCUCCGUACCCAGAACUCUGAUCGACAAUGGCCGCCACUGCAUCCUUGGACUCCUUCGGAAGCUUGAUACUGUUCUUCAGCUUCUCUCUCUUGCUCGCCACCGACGGCGACUCCUCUAGCAUCCUCUGAAGACCUCCGCCAGCUCUUGGAUCCACCAUCUCCGCCACAAUCUCCUUCUGAAACUAAUAAUUCACGAGAUUCUUCACUGACAGCUGAAGAUACAGAGCAAGACUGUCCACAAUCCUUCGUAAGACUAUCGUCCAGUAAGAUGCUAUCCUCAUCUUCAUAUCGAAGGCUUGCUGCAGGAGAUGAGCAUGAUACUUCCGUAGGUGAGAGAUCUUCACAAUUCCACCAAAUCCAGUCAACGAGAAGUGCUCAGGCUUUUUCCCAUCGGACAACACAGCAUAAAUGAAGUUUUGUUGUUCAGCAGUCAUCUGAGUCCAAGACGUCAUGUACUCAGGGUUACAUGUGUAAUCAGUCAGCUUCUCCAUUUCAACAAUCUCCAACACUCGCUCCACAGAGUGUUCCUUGAUCUUGGUGAUUAGAUUUCGACCAGCACGUUUGAUGGCAGAUUGGAUCUGUGGGAAGUUUUCAGAAUACUUGGCAAUGACGGAUGAGAGAACAACUUCAAUGUAGUCCCAUAUCUUCUUGAUGAACUCCACGGGCUUGACAUGUAUGGCAUCUUCGUGUUGUGAUAGUAUAGCCAAGAAGGCUGACCUGGGGAUGAAAUUGGGCAGUCCAACACACUUGCAUUCGUCAAGGAUCUUGAUCUCAUUCAUCAAGAACUCGGUCACUUCCUUUGGCUUCUCUUGCAGAUUAUCGGAGAAUUGGCUUAACAUGUCAGCCAAACGAGCAGUACAGUGCAUGUUCUGGUCAUCCGGGAAUUCAGAGAAGUCUCCUUGGACAAGGAUUCUGAAGAGGGACUCCUUGGCAGAACCAAUGAUGUCCAUCAAUGCCAUCAAUGCUUCUCCGGUAGAAGCCAUAACCAUCGGUAGCUUGUUCAACUCCAGGACAGCAGUUUCCAUCUUGUGAUUGAUCUUGCGAACGAUUUCAGGCAAACAGCGGGAAAUCAUCGUUGCUUGGAUAAGCAUUAGCUUCUGAGCUAUAACAGGGAUUCCCACGAUGUCUUCAUCAAUCAAGCUCAGCAUCGGGUGAGUCCUGAAGAGCAACUCUUCUUGCAUUCUAGCUUGUUCAUACGCUCUUCUCCAAUGCGGUUUCUGACACAGACGUAACCUAGACCAAUACUCACAUCAUCCGCAGUUACUUUCUGUAGGAGACCUUCGGGAGCCAUGUCUGCCUUGGUGACAACGGCCAGAGUCCGUUCACAUACGGAUGGAUUCACAGGUGGUGAAGUCGACUGUAGCUGACAGAACAUUGAGGAUUAUUGAUUCUUGUGGCUCGAUGUACUUCAUGAUCAUCCCAGAAAUCUGUUCGUAAAUAUUCUCCGGUUGUCCAUUCACUGGCCUCGAGUUAUACCGGGAAGAUCGACCAUGGUAAGAUAUGGGACCCCAGCCUUCUUAACAUGGAGGGUCAAUGGAGCGUCUGAGACCCCUUUGCCAGAUCCUGCAGUAUAGCACAGAUAGCUUCAGCGAUGUGCUCCUCAUCCGUGGGAACAAUCUUGUCACUGUACUCAAGCCAUAUCUCAGGUACAGGGCUAGAGCUUCGCUGAAGUCGCAUGACAAGAGGAACCCUAGUGCAGAUUCCUUGGCCACGAGGUAGACUGAUUCCUGCCAACGAGUCGAGGACACUUGACUUCCCCGAGGACUGGUCUCCAACCACGACAAUGGUGGGAAGCUGAAUGCCUUCUCUCAUCACAUUGAGGUUCCUUAGACGGUCAACCGUGUCAAGCAACGGCCUAAUCCUAUCGUUAUAUGAAGAUAUAAUCGGUGCUUCGAUGGGAACAACUUCUCUGUUGUCAUGAGGAUUCGCCUGGACAAUUGCAAGAGAAGGAGAAGAGGUUCUAGUGACAACAUGCUUCUUACUACCUCCCAUUUGUGUUCUUUUAGAGAUAAGACAAGAGUAGAAGAUAUAAAAGACAGAAAAGAGAAGUUCUAUGGGUAAGUGAGAUUCUUCUUAGAGAUAUGCAAAGAUAUAUAUAGAGAUAUUAGAAGGGCUUUGUGUAUACGAAGAAUUUACGAAGCAAGUAAAUUGCAUGAAAGGAUGCAAGUAGCGUGCAUGUUGGAAUUGAAAAAAGCUAAUUAAGUCAGUAAUUGCACCUAUAUCUAGCUCGUAGUUGAAACUAAAACGUCUCUCUUAAGAUGUGUAUUUGAAUAUUUUAUUGGUUCCAAUUGGCUGAAUUCUUUUGUGGUGAAGUUUGGAAUUUUGACUAAAGGCGUAACUUGAUAAUUUUCG
rnacentral:lncRNA from 1 species